ACGCGGAGAAGCGGAGAGCGGUUGACCAGACGGCUGGACGAUUGUUAGCCUUCCCCAUCCAGUCACACCCUUUCCCGCACCCGUUUUGCUCCAUUGUUUGUAGCUGGCCAACAUUUGCCGUGUGCAACGGCCAUUGUUAGGGUGCAUUUAGCGCGGUACGUACACACCAAACACACACACACGGUCGUGGGAAAGCUCACAUGCCCGCCGUUUGACCUUCGACAUUCGACGGCGUUCGUCGCUUAGAUCCAGCGCGCGUUACGUCGCAGUAGUAGCAACUUAGUCCCGAGAUUGUAGAAGGUGUUUGGGUUUCGGGCGUUUGGGGAUUUCGAAGGCGUUUGAAUAAAAGGGAAGCUAGCCUUUGAAAGGUGCGUUUGCGGGUAAGUUCAAUGACUUGUGCAAUGUCUCGGGUGGUGUGUAGGUAGCAUUGUUUGUAGUUAGCUAGUCGAAAGUGUAAACGUGUAGUUCAGUAACUUCAGGGAGGGGUCGAAAGGUCAUCAGUUACGUUUUGUAAACGUGGCGUACCCUUUUGUGAAGCAAGAAGCAUACAAUGUUGCUACAAGUUCAGUGACACAGUUAUUGAGGAGUGCAUUGGACAUUGUGAUAGUGGAACACUAAAUUGCAGCUAUCAUGAGUUACAAUGUCUGUUUUAGAGGAACUGCGCGAAUUUCCAGUUCACUGAGCAGCAAAUGCUAAUCCUUUGUUCGGCGUGUGUGAUGCAGCGCGAUUUGCAACGAUUGAAUCCGUACGCCGAAUUCGGAUCAAUUAUCUCAGUACACAGCGCACUGUACAUAAGGGACAUUCCUAACCCGCACACACACAGCAACACUGGAAUUUCACCCCCCCCCCCUCCCUCUCCCGAAAACCACCCAUCAAACCGGAUGUAUCAAAACCGAAACGCACAUCAAUAUAUUGCGGUGAUCCGGCAUCCGCUCUCCCAACAAACCCCACGUGUCGGGCCUGGCAGCCGAGCGCAAAGGGACGCUCGUUCGGAAGGAUGAAAAAUUACUGAAAUGUUGCGGUAAUCGCGUCAAUAUGUUGUAACGAUAAUUUAUCGCAAUCGCUAUUCGAUCGGGGUUGAUACCUGUCCCCCCCAUCGCCCCCCUUCACGGGCCUUUCCGCGUUUCAACCCCGAGUUUGGAAUGUUGCGCGGAAGGAAAAUCGUGGAAGGGACGAAGCAAAUUUUAGGCAACAUCAGCUUGCAACCACAACCCACCUGGUGUCAGUGUGACGGGUUUUGGGAAAGGGGGGUAAGGUGAGUUAAUAAAUUUAAGCGCACAUUGAUGGUGUGAUGAAAUGGCGUUAAACGUAAAUGAAUGGCAAAAACAUACGAUACCAAAAUCUAGCGAAAUGUACGGUGAAGCGGAGCGCUGUUGAUUUGUUAAAUCAAAUCGUGUGAUGCGAAUAGCAUAGCUUUAGGCGUAAAUGUGGGACAAAUAAUGUUUUUUUUCCCGAAAGUAUGCAAUGCGCAUUACAGUAUUGGCUUAAUUUGUGAAAACUAACACAAAAAGGAG